rnacentral:sRNA from 1 species
GUGGUCAGGACAAGCCCUUGCUGUCUGCCUGGCCCAGCCCUGUGGUGCCUCCAGGACAUGUGAUUCUUCGGUGUCAUUCUUAUCUUGGGUUUAACAACUUCAGUGUGUACAAGGAAGAUGGGGUGCCUGGCACUGAGCUCUACAACAGAAUAUUCUGGAAGAGCCUUUUCAUGGGCCCUGCGACCCCAGCACACACAGGGACGUACAGAUGUCGGGGUUCACACCCACACUCCCCCAGUGGGUGGUCGGCACCCAGCAACCCCCUGGUGAUCAUGGUUACAGGAGUCCACACAAAACCUUCCCUCCUGGCCCACCCAGGUCCCCUGGUGAAAUCAGAAGAGACAGUCAUCCUGCAAUGUUGGACAUCCUGCAGAUGUCAUGUUUGAGCACUUCCUUCUGCACAGAGAGGGGAAGUUUAACGACACUUUGCGCCUCAUUGGAGAGCACCAUGAUGGGGUCUCCAAGGCCAACUUCUCCAUCGGUCGCAUGACGGAAGACCUGGCAGGGACCUACAGAUGCUACGGUUCUGUUACUCACUCCCCCUAUCAGUUGUCAGCUCCCAGUGACUCUCUGGACAUUGUUAUCAUAGGUCUACGUGGGAAACCUUCUCUCUCAGCCCAGCUGGGCCCCACAGUUCAGGCAGGAGAGAGCGUGACCUUGUCCUGCAGCUCCCGGAGCUCCUAUGACAUCUACCAUCUAUCCAGGGAGGGGGAGGCUCAUGAACGUAGGCUCCCUGCAGAGCCCAAGGUCAAUGGAACAUUCCAGGCUGACUUUCCUCUGGGCCCUGCCACCCAUGGAGGGACCUACAGAUGCUUCGGCUCUUUCCGUGACUCUCCCUACAAGUGGUCAGACCUUAGUGACCCACUGCUUGUUUCUGUCACAGAUUCUAUGAAGGAGAAAGGAAGAGAUGUGAUACUGUAAUUUUGCUCCAUUUGUCUAAAAUGGGUAGGCUGCAACUCCUCUUGAAGUGAUACCUUUUCUAGCUCUUGUUGGAGGUGUCUCAGGACUCAUUACUUCGGGGAACCUGCAACUGUGUCAGUCUGGGGAAACUGCAAAUAUUCUUGUCUUACAUUUGUCUCCAGCCAAUUGUGAUGGACUCCAGUGACCUGCAAUUGCUGUUACUGCAGGUAAAAUGUACCUGAGUCAGGCCACAGUUCUCCUGGACUAUGAGCCCCUGGCCAUGUUCCUGAGGCAAUUCUGUUCAUCUAAAUAUAAUAAUAAUAACAC